rnacentral:misc_RNA from 1 species
GUUUUCAUAUAGCAUACUUCUUUUUAUGGUUAACUAACCUUCAAAACGAUGACAAAAUCGUACACCAAGUAGGAAACAAAAAAUAGUACUAGUAGUAAACAAUGUGCUGAUCACACAUUUAGUCCUUUACAUCAGUGACUCCUUCAACAGAAAUUUGAAAUCUUGCUUCUGCUUCAGCUAAGCAUGGCGAACUGACUACUU